rnacentral:rRNA from 1 species
UGGCUCAUUAAAUCAGUCAUAAUUCCUUGGAUAGUGACAAACUUCCUCGGAUAACUGUGGAAAAUCCAGAGCUAAUACGUGCAACUGAGCUCCGACCUUUAUUGGGAAGAGCGCAUUUAUUAGAUUCAAAACUGACCGUCGUAUUCCUCCGGGAUGCGACGUUUGUCAAAAGUUGAUGACUCCGGAUAACUUAGCCGAGCGCUACGGUCCUAGUACCGGCGCCGUAUCUUUCAAGUGUCUGCCUUAUCAGCUUUCGAUUGUAGGUUAAACGCCUACAAUGGCUGUAACGGGUAACGGGGAAUCAGGGUUCGAUUCCGGAGAGGGAGCCUGAGAAACGGCUACCACAUCUAAGGAAGGCAGCAGGCACGCAAAUUACCCACUCCCAGCCCGGGGAGGUAGUGACGAAAAAUAACGAUGCGAGACUCUUCCGAGGCCUCGCAAUCGGAAUGAGUCCAUUUUAAAUGUUUGGACGAGGAUCCAUUGGAGGGCAAGUCUGGUGCCAGCAGCCGCGGUAAUUCCAGCUCCAAUAGCGUAUAUUAAAGUUGCUGCGGUUAAAAAGCUCGUAGUUGGACUUCCUAGAUCCAAUUCGUGGACGAGUCGCUCGUCGAAUUAACGUCCCGCGCCAGUUGCCCGACGAGGUCUCGUAACGCGUGUAUCGUUCGGCGUGCGUGGAAGGUUUCGCGCGGGUUUCGGCUCACGCUUCCUUUUAUCGCUCGUCGUCGGUCUCGUACUUUCGUUUCUCGAGUUUGGUGGACGACGGGUGCGUUGUCUUCGAGUAUCGCUCGUUCGCGUUUGGUACAAUUAAAAUUUUGUCGGCUCGCUCGGAGUGCUCUUUACCGAGUGUUCCAGGGUGGCCGACACGUUCACUUUGAAAAAAUUAGAGUGCUUAAAGCAGCCUUUGUAGUUGGCCUGAAUGUCUGUGCAUGGAAUGAAGUAACAGGACCUCGAUUCUGUUGUUUUUGUCGGUUUUAUUGAACCGAGGUAAUGAUUAAAAGGGACAGACGGUGGCAUUAGUAUUGUGGCGCUAGAGGUGAAAUUCUUGGACCGCCGCAAGACUAACUACUGCGAAAGCAUUUGCCGAGAAUGUUUUCAUUAAUCAAGAACGAAAGUUAGAGGAUCGAAGGCGAUCAGAUACCGCCCUAGUUCUAACCCUAAACUAUGCUAACUAGCGAUCCGCCGGAGUCAUUCCCACGACCCGGCGGGAAGCCCCAGGGAAACCAAAGUCUUUGAGUUCCGGGGGAAGUAUGGUUGCAAAGCUGAAACUUAAAGGAAUUGACGGAAG